GACGAACGCUGGCGGCGUGCCUAAUACAUGCAAGUAGACCGCAGUUGCGAACGGGUGAGUAACGCGUAUGUAACAUGCCUCAUAGCGGGGGCUAACUAUUGGAAACGAUAGCUAAAACCGCAUACUGUUAGCUGGACCUGCGUUGCAUUAGCUAGUUGGUGAGGUAAAGGUUAACCAAGGCGACGAUCAAUAGCCGGCCUGAGAGGGUGAUCGGCCACACUGGAACUGAGCCACGGCCCAGACUCCUACGAGAGGCAGCAGUAGGGAAUCUUCGGCAAUGGACGCAAGUCUGACCCAGCAACGCCGCGUGAGUGAAGAAGGUUUUCGGAUCGUAAAACACUGUUGUUAGAGAAGCGGUAUCUAACCAGAAAGCCACGGCUAACUCCGUGCCAGCAGCCGCGGUAAUAC
rnacentral:rRNA from 1 species